AUGGGUCUCUGCCUCAGCAAGAAGCAGCAGCGGCGGCAAGAGGAGCAGCCGCGCAAUGCGGCCAAGAGGAGCGGCAAGGACGCCGCCCCGCUAGCCACGGAGGAGAAGAGGGCGCCGACGACGGCCAAGCCGGCGCCGUCCAGGAAGGCCACUGCGCCCAGGGCGGAGGAGCCGGCGGCGGACAAGCGGACGGUGUUCGUGGUCAAGGCUGCGGCCGCCGCCGCGGCUGCCGAGGUGGCGAGCGGCGGGGAGAGCGACGGGGUGAAGAGGGCGCCCCCCGCUCCGGCCGCACCGGUCGAGGAGGCAGCGAAGCCGGCGGUCGUUAGCAGGGUGCCGGUGCGGACCUCCAGCUGCACCAAGGAGGAGGUGGACGCGAUUCUGAUCCAGUGCGGCCGGCUCAGCCGGAGCUCGUCGGCGUCGGGGAAGGCGGCUGCAUCGGGCGAGAGCGGCGGGGGCCAUAGGAGGUACUCUGGAUCUAAGAGGAGCUACGACUUCGACCUGGAGAGGAGGGCUGGGGGCGUCGACGACGAGUGCGACUGGGACAGGCUGGGCGGAGGCGCCGCCGCGUCGAGGCCCUCGCCGCGCCGGAGGACGCCGGACCGUAAGCGGUCGGCCAGCCACGAGAGCCGAAGCGGUGCCGGGAGCGGGAGCAGGAGAGUGAGCCGCUCGCCCGGACGGCGCGGCGAGGGUGCAACCGCGGCGGCGAGCUCCGUGGGCGUCGAGCGGUUUGCGCGGCAGCCCGGGAAGUUGGUGUCGGUCCCGGCCCGAGAGAAAGGGCGCGCGCCGUCGCCGGUGAAGGCUGCGCCGUCUGGGAAGAGGUACGCGUCGCCAACCCUGAGGUCCAACUCCCCCGCAAGGGCGGUGGCCGUCGCGAAUGAGAACGCCGGGGUGCAACCGACGCACGGGCCGUCGCUGAGCCGAAGCUCGUCGAGGAAGGCCGAUAACUCGCCGUACCGUCGCAACCCCAUGUCGGAGCUCGACGAGAACGCACUGGCCAACAACCACCACACCACCAACAACGGCAAGCCCCAAAAUCAAAAGAAACCCAUCGAGAGUGUCGCCGCCGUUUCACAGAGGUUGGGGGAGCGCUGCCAGACUGCGAAGGACAAGACGGAGAUCACGGAGGAGGCCGUGGCGCCGGACACCAAGGCACCGUCCGCGAGGAUGAACGCGACGCACACGGUGAGCAUUGUGGCCGAGAGCGUCGUCAACAACAUGAGGGCGGGGCCUGGGUGCCGGUCGUCGCGGCGGUCCUCGCGGGACUUCGACCACAGCGGCAGUUCUUUCGCCUUCGUGGAGGAUUCCGUUGCGCCAGACACCAGAGCGCCGUCUUCCAAGAUCAACGCGACGCACUCGGUGAACAUUGUGGCCGAGAGCGUCGGGAGCACAAAGGCGGGGCGGUCGUCGAGGAGGUCGUCCCGAGACUUCGACCACGCCUUCCUGAAUGAGGCCAUGGCGUCGGAGACAAAAGCACCGUCGUCCAGGAUGAACGCGACGCACACGGUGAGCAUCGUGUCGGAGAGCGUUGCCAGCCAGAAAGCCGGGCCGGCAGGCCGGUCGUCGAGGCGGUCAUCCCGCGACUUCGAUCACAACGGCAACUCCUAUGCCUCCCUGCUCCUCGAAGACAUCCAGAGCUAUCACCAGCAGAACGCCAGCGACACGGCCGUGGCGGCGCCGGCGUUCUCGCUCCCGGCGUGCGUGUCCAAAGCCUGCUCCAUCCUUGAAGCGGUCGCGGACCUCAACUCCUCGCCGUCGGAGAACAGGAGCUUUGAGCUGGACCGGUCGGCCGACGACAAGGGGUCGGCCAACGUGAGCUGCUACAGCGCCGGGAAGGCGGCGGCGGCGGGCACGCACGUCGUCGAGUCCGAGGUCGUUGUCAAGGACGACCUCAUGGAGCCGAGCCUGCACAAGUACGUGUCCGUGCGGGACAUCCGCGGCGAGGCCGAGCUGCAGGAGUCCGCCGGGAGCAACAGCUUCGCCGGCAACCCGUGGACGUGCUCGUGGGAGCCCAAUUCCGUCGACUCCACCGACCGGACGUGGACGGCCUCGCAGUCCAACAGCGACGAUGCCGAGCAGCGCAGCGGCGGCACGGUCGGCACACUCGAACAGUCUUGGCAGAGCAAGCAGGAGUCCGGUGGCCGUGCGUGGUUGGGCUCUGACGGCAGUGCUCAGCUCGGGCGCGGUGCUCAUCGGGGCGGCGGCGGCGUCGCGCGAUCCGAUGUUCGUACUGCAUCAGCGAACUCUUCUAGCGCUUAG
rnacentral:rRNA from 1 species